rnacentral:rRNA from 1 species
GAGUUUGAUCCUGGCUCAGGAUGAACGGUAGCGGCAGGCCUAAUACAUGCAAGUCGAACGAGAUUAAGGACUUCGGUCUUUAUGAAAGUGGCGCACGGGUGCGUAACACGUAUGCAACCUACCUCUAAUUGGGGGAUAGCCUUCCGAAAGGGAGAUUAAUACCGCAUAAAACAGCAGAACGGCAUCGUUUAACUGUUAAAACUCCGGUGAUUAGAGAUGGGCAUGCGUUGCAUUAGCUAGUUGGUAAGGUAACGGCUUACCAAGGCUACGAUGCAUAGGGGAUCUGAGAGGAUGGUCCCCCACACUGGUACUGAGAUACGGACCAGACUCCUACGGGAGGCAGCAGUAAGGAAUAUUGGUCAAUGGACGCAAGUCUGAACCAGCCAUGCCGCGUGCAGGAUGACGGCCCUAUGGGUUGUAAACUGCUUUUGUCAGGGAAUAAAUCAUUUUACGUGUAAGAUGUUGAAGGUACCUGAAGAAUAAGGAUCGGCUAACUCCGUGCCAGCAGCCGCGGUAAUACGGAGGAUCCAAGCGUUAUCCGGAUUUAUUGGGUUUAAAGGGUGCGUAGGCGGCGUGUUAAGUCAGAGGUGAAAGCCUGCAGCUCAACUGUAGAACUGCCUUUGAUACUGGCGCGCUUGAGUACAGAUGAAGUGGGCGGAAUGUGACAAGUAGCGGUGAAAUGCAUAGAUAUGUCACAGAACACCGAUUGCGAAGGCAGCUCACUAAAGUGUAACUGACGCUGAGGCACGAAAGCGUGGGGAUCAAACAGGAUUAGAUACCCUGGUAGUCCACGCCCUAAA